rnacentral:lncRNA from 1 species
CAUAAUCUUCUAGCAUGUAAUUGUUGUAUAGUUAACUGUUGUGAGUGUGUGGAAGUGAGGGUAUGUGUGUGUGUUGGAGAGAGUGGAUUGUGAGCCUUGACAUUUCUUUUAAUCAUUAAUAUUUAUGAAGUCAACAGUAUAGGAUUCAAUGGCGAAUGAAUUUGAUAGUAUUAGUAUUUUAUGUGUAACAGUUUUGAGCAGUCGACGAGGAGCUUGCGGUGGCCAGGUGUGGCGACGGGGAAGGGUUUCAUAGAUUUUCUCCUUUUUUUUAUUUUACGUUUUAUUUGGUUUGGGAUCGAACCGAGCCUGCUUUUAGUGUUCUAGUUUCGAUAGAUCGGAGUUGUUGUCGGGUUGAAAAGUGAGAUUUGAAGCUAUAAAUUCAAAUUAUACUAUACAUGACUAUUAGUCACAUGUAGUUAUAUAUAGUCACAUAUGGUCAUAUACAUGUAGUUAUAUAUAGUCACAUAUAGUCAUAUACAUGUAGUUAUAUAUAGUCACAUAUGGUCAUAUACAUGUAGUCAUAUAUAGUCACAUAUAGUCAUAUACAUGUAGUUAUAUAUAGUCACAUAUGGUCAUAUACAUGUAGUCAUAUAUAGUCACAUAUGGUCAUAUACAUGUAAUUAUAUAUAGUCACGUUUAGUAGCAUGUAAUUAUAUAUUUUUAUAUAAAAGAUAUGCGUUUCUUCUAAUGUAUACUGAUGAUGAUGUUAAUGAUUGUG